rnacentral:lncRNA from 1 species
GGAAAGCAAGCUGCAGAAUACUAGUGCUGAUAACAACUACAGGUAGUAUUUGAAACAAAAAUAAAUGAGUUUUCAGCACUUAAGUGAAAUGAGGCUUUAAUCAAAAAGAGACUUAAUUCCACAGGGCGUCUUUUUUCAACAGUAAUUAAUUCAUUCAAGUCUGAUUUCAAGCUCAAGUGACAGUGUUAUGUUUGAAGCAAUUGAGAAAAGGCAAUCAACAUGUAAGUGGUAUAAUACAGUAUGUACUAGAUUUGGGGGCAAUCUCUAACUGCAUUCAAUUUUUAGACCUUGUUUUGGAGUCUAAUUAAACAAGAACUAGAGCUCUGACCCCACUUGGAGGAAUGCAGUGAAAUUGCCUUGUCUUGGCACAAGGCACGUUACAACAUCGACGCUCUUUAAUCAAUCAGCUA